rnacentral:rRNA from 1 species
UACGUAGGGGGCAAGCGUUGUCCGGAAUCAUUGGGCGUAAAGCGCGUGUAGGCGGCCCGGUAAGUCCGCUGUGAAAGUCGGGGGCUCAACCCUCGGAUGCCGGUGGAUACUGUCGGGCUCGAGUACGGAAGAGGCGAGUGGAAUUCCUGGUGUAGCGGUGAAAUGCGCAGAUAUCAGGAGGAACACCGAUUGCGAAGGCAGCUCGCUGGGACGUGACUGACGCUGAGACGCGAAAGCGUGGGGGAGCAAACAGG